UCUAGAACUCCAAAUAUAGGCUGAACACCAAAUAAUAUUUAGACCGUAGGAUAGAUUCAGACUUCUCUUUUGUUUCUAAGAUUUGAACUUAAAAACAACAAUAUUGAGUCUUGGGCUCUUCAUGAAUGUUUUAGGCCUAUAUGUUAGUUUUCUAUC
rfam:Populus trichocarpa scaffold_8_contig_233, whole genome shotgun sequence.